UACGUAGGGGACAAGCGUUGUCCGGAAUUACUGGGCGUAAAGCGUGCGCAGGCGGUGAUGUAAGACCGAUGUGAAAUCCCCCGGGCUUAACCUGGGAACUGCAUUGGUGACUGCAUCGCUCGAGUAUGGCAGAGGGGGGUAGAAUUCCACGUGUAGCAGUGAAAUGCGUAGAGAUGUGGAGGAAUACCGAUGGCGAAGGCAGCCCCCUGGUCAAUACUGACGCUCAUG
rnacentral:rRNA from 1 species